rnacentral:rRNA from 1 species
UACGUAGGUGGCAAGCGUUGUCCGGAAUUAUUGGGCGUAAAGCGCGCGCAGGUGGUUUCUUAAGUCUGAUGUGAAAGCCCACGGCUCAACCGUGGAGGGUCAUUGGAAACUGGGAGACUUGAGUGCAGAAGAGGAAAGUGGAAUUCCAUGUGUAGCGGUGAAAUGCGUAGAGAUAUGGAGGAACACCAGUGGCGAAGGCGACUUUCUGGUCUGAUAACUGACACUGAGGCGCGAAAGCGUGGGGAGCAAACAGG